rnacentral:rRNA from 1 species
GAUGAACGCUGGCGGCGUGCCUAAUACAUGCAAGUCGAGCGAACGGACGAGAAGCUUGCUUCUCUGAUGUUAGCGGCGGACGGGUGAGUAACACGUGGAUAACCUACCUAUAAGACUGGGAUAACUUCGGGAAACCGGAGCUAAUACCGGAUAAUAUUUUGAACCGCAUGGUUCAAAAGUGAAAGACGGUCUUGCUGUCACUUAUAGAUGGAUCCGCGCUGCAUUAGCUAGUUGGUAAGGUAACGGCUUACCAGGGCAACGAUGCAUAGCCGACCUGAGAGGGUGAUCGGCCACACUGGAACUGAGACACGGUCCAGACUCCUACGGGAGGCAGCAGUAGGGAAUCUUCCGCAAUGGGCGAAAGCCUGACGGAGCAACGCCGCGUGAGUGAUGAAGGUCUUCGGAUCGUAAAACUCUGUUAUUAGGGAUGAACAUAUGUGUAAGUAACUGUGCACAUCUUGACGGUACCUAAUCAGAAAGCCACGGCUAACUACGUG